GGCGGAGCGGAGCGGAGAGGAGAGGAGCGGGCGGCGGGGUGAGCUCAUCCCGGGCGCGGAGCGCAGCCGAGCGGCGCGGAGGGCGAGCCGCCGCGGCAACUUUCUUGGGCUGACUUCGUUGCUUGCUGCAUCUCCUGAGGGGUAAACAUUAACUCCAGCCUGCAAGAAGAUGAAGCAAGAACUGAUGAGAAUGUGUUCCACCUAUAAUCAAUCACUCUUGCUUAUUUUUAUGUUGAGGUGAGUACUGUGUGGUUUUUUUAUGUUAGGAUAAUGGUGUUCAGUUAAGUUAUACAUAGACAAGUCCAUCUUACAUGUAUUUGUUGGAACAUAAGCAUUUCACUUCUGGAAUUUUACUCAAUGACAGUCUGGUCAUUUGAAAAUUAAGAGAGAAAUUGACUUUUAAAACAAACAAACCCUGAAGUAGCUCUGUGCAUCUAGGUAUGUGAGACUAUUGCUGUAACACUCCUGAGAGACUAUGGCAAAGGAUAUCUUAAAUGUAAGAGGAAGGUUUUUUUAGAGAGAGAAGAAAAGCACAGAAAAACCCACUGGUGGUUUCUGUUAACGUCUCGAUCCAGUGAAUUUUUCAAGUGCCAUUUAAAAUACCAGCUUCUUCAGAAUCAAGUAUGUAGGUUGCUCUGAAAUUAAUGCCUCUGAUUUAUUUCCAUGGAAACUACAAUGUAUACAGAGAGCACAGUAGCACUAUUUGAGAGGGCAAAUUCUCAUCUUUAAAACACUGUUUUCCAACAUAGUCACCAUCAUUACCUAUGCGUUUUUUCCAGCAACAGACAAGAGCCUGCAUGCCUUGCUCUUAAAAGUCAGCACCAAUGUAGGUGACCCAUUAUUUCACAGCUGCUGUGAUGGCACUGUUGCCACGAAAAUAUUGACUAUGCUGUCCAUCUUUCAUCAGUCCAAACAGAUGGAAGUCAGAAGGCACCAAGUAUGGACUAUGAAGUCACUGGGUGUGGUAGGACAGUCCAGCCAAGACUGGCAAUGUGCUUCGCAAUCUUCAAACUGGUAUGGGUCCUGCUGUUCUUGUGUUGCAAGAGAAAGGUUGUCUUCUUCUCUGGCCUGACUCUGGAAGUUUGAGCCUUGAGCUCAUGAUGCAUCAGUCGGAGUUGAUGGCUUGUUGGGUUGCAGGAAAUCCAGAAAGAUGACCCCUUUCUUGUCCUAAAAGACAGUGUACACUGCUUUACCUGCUGAGGGCUGUGACCUGAACUUUUUCUUCAGUGGGGAAUUCACGUUUCCACUCCAUGGACUGUUGUUUUAACUCUGACUCAUAGUGGUGACAUUGUCCCAUCACCAGUAAUGAUGUGAUCACCUUCAGUCCUGUAUUGGUUCAGUAGACCCUGACAAACUUGUAUAUGAUUUUCUUUCCGUUCCUGUGUAAUUGUGGGACCCACUUGGUGCAAAAUUUGUGAUAUUCCAAUGUUGCCACCAUUACUUCCAAUGCAUUGAAGCUGAUAUUCAUCUCUAUAUGCAGUUGUCUGGUUGUAUUCUGCCAAUUUGUGUGGAUGGGCUGAUCGAGACACUCUUUGUUUCAUGGUGUGACAGCUGUGAGUGGCUAGCUGGAAUGUUGCUUUUCUUUCAGUUUGCUGUUGCCACUGCUGAAACAUACCACUCCCGAAGUGAGAGCCUGUGCUCUCACCCACUGUUUGGUCUCUGUAAGUGUUCAGCAAGUAUCGGUGAAUGUCAGUAGGUGCAGAUUUUUCCACAUGGAGGAAUUCAGUGACACACCUUUGCUUCAUAUGUACUUCCAUGUCAGACACCAUUCUGUCAGACUCCCCUCUGCUGCCGUCUGUCACGUGGCACGAAAUGUAAUGGAAUAGCUGGGGGAAGGUUCAAGCUCUACUGCUAUACCACCAUCAUCCACCUUUGAUGUCAUGGGCCAAUAAAAUGGGAGGCAUUACUUUUGAAACAAAACUUGUAGUUCAGAACUGCUUUACUCUGCUUGUUCAACUGGCUGUUCCUGCUGUGGGAUGUGAAUGGGGGAUGUGUUCAGCAGGCAAGUGUUCAAACUGAUUGUUCAGCUAAAGGAUGAUCUUGCCAAAAGGGCUUUUUGUGUUCAGAACAAAUUGCACAAAUUGAUUCCUUUUGUAUACCUAAAGGAAUAUUGAAGCGUAUGGCGCAUCCGUAAUUGAACUUGCCGUGUAGUUACAUUGACUUUCACAGUUCACUCUGCGAUACGCAGACUGAAUUGCUUAUAUCAGGCAUGUCCAGCCUGUGGGCUGCGUGCAGACUGGCAUAGCUCACAAUGCGCCUGAGAAUGACAACCACUUCCAUUGAAUUGGACUGAAGCGUUACUUUUGCAAAAGCAAGGUCAGAUAUCCCGCUAGUUCUUUGGUUUUAUUGUUCUCCUUUCUAUAUGUUUUAAUAAGAACAUUAAAAAUAAAAUCAGUUUUGUUACUUAUAUAUACACUAGCUCAUGUAUUUAUUUAUGAGGGCAGAUCUGAAAGUAAUGCCUCCGAUUUUAUGAUGUUGGCCCUCUAUGUCAGAGGUGGAUGUUUGUGGUAUGGCAGUAGAGGUUGAACCUUCCCAACAACAUUCCGUUAGAUUUUGGUGCCAUGUGACAGAUGGCAGCAGAGGGGCAGUCUGAAAACAUGACAUCUGACAUGGAAGUGUAGAUGAAGCAAAGGUGCAUCAUUGAAUUCCUCCAUGUGGCACCCACUGACAUUUAUUGAUGCUUGCUGAGUGAUUGUGGAGACCAAGCAGUGCAUGUGAGCACAGUGAGAGUGGGUGGUGUGUUUCAGCAGCGGUGACAGUGGGUCAUCUCCACUGGUGCAGAUUUCUGUAUGCACAGCACGCAGGCUCUUGUUCAUCGCUAGUGAAUAUGUGUCGCUAAUGGUAAUGACUGUGUUGAAAAAGAGUGUUCUGUUGCUGAGAAUUUGCUCUAUUAAAUAGUGUUAUUGUGCUCUUUGUAUCUGUUAUCAUUUCCAUGGAAAUAAAUAGGAGACACUAGUUUGAGAGCAACCUUCACAGUGCAACCCUGGCCAAUUCACUUCACUCAGUGUGUCCCAGGCAAGGGAAGGUUUGGUGUUCUUGGCAUAUAUGGUUACAGCUGUGGUUGAAAUCUCCUUGGUAAGGUUGGUUACAAGAGAAGAAUUUUAGAUUUUUUUUUUAUAAUGUUGUUGCUGAAAAUAUCAAAUCUCCAACUUCCAGUAUGAUUUAAGUGAAAAACAGUCUUUGUUUAUAUUAACUAUAUUAACCAGAUAUUAACUAUGGCAGGGAUAAGAUUAUAAAGAUUUUUGUGAACCUACAGUUGUAUUGAGGAAUUGAUGAGCAGGAUAAGAGUUCAUUGAGCUUGCACUUGCUUGGUACUGUAAUGCAGAAUGUAUUGCUCCUGGUGUGCAAGUGGAAAGGACAGAGGAAAUUAUGAAGGGUAAAAGCCAGCAAGCAAGUCCAGCCUUUUUCUAUUUCAGCAUAGGGUGAAAUGUUGUUGUUUUGAAUACUUCAGGCAGUGAAGUGGUAGUGGGCAGGCAUGAGGAGCUUCCACAAUACAGACCUUCAGUGACAGAAUACUAAGUUUGUGAAGGGAUUGUAGAUGUAUUUUCUGGCGUGUGUUUGUUCUGAAAUCUAAGAAUAUGAGGUGCAGUACUGGCUGUGAAAGCUGUUGGAAGCAGAGCAUUUCUUAAAAACUGGUUUUAGUCAUGGCUGUUAGUAUGGAGUAGCUUUGGGGAGUUGGUUUGGUUUCAAAAUAUCCUCAAAGGAUUUUCAUUUGAACUUGAGAAGCUUUUUAUCUUUUCAGGUCUUAAAGUUUUGGCUGAUAAAUUUUGUGGCACGCAGGAAGAAGCUCACAUUGUAAAGAAACUUGAAGAGGAGUCAGUUGAGAAGGAAAUCUCCUGUUCCUUUUGAAGAUCAAAUCCAUGGAGUGCAGUUAGACCAUGUCUGGAUUUUCUGUGCUAUUUCUUUUGCUUCGUAGCUGUUUCGUUGUAAUAGUUUCUGACCUCCUACUGUGGAGGAGUUUGUUGUUUAUGGAAUGGAAAGCAGAAUGACUUCAAAAGACAAACAAACAAAAUGAACCAACCAAACAAAAACACCAAAAAUAAAUUGUAAGUGUUUGGAAGGGCCUUGAUGGACAGGAAGGAUCAUCUUACCGCAAAAUUGAUUCAGUACAGUAACUCUAUAUAGACUUCAAGCUCUUUCAUUUCUACCCAAGGAAACUUAACUUUUUUUUUCCAUGCAAUUCCAGAUUGGUUUUGGCUUAAAUUUCAUGGGUUCGGCUUAAUAUUUUUUAAACAUAAAAUUCUUCUGUGCUUGACACAAUGGAGAGCAGGCAAAUGCGAUUUGCCCUGUGUGCAGGUGUAUUUCAGCACGUUUCCUGGAAAGGAUAGCUGAAGGAAGAAGGAGAGUUGUCAUUUACUGUGGAGUUCCAGGUAGCCAGAAAUAGCUUAGGUUCUCUUUUCUUCUGAGAAGUCCUUCAAAAGGUCCUAGAGUAUUGAGUUCAGUCAUUCUUCUCUAACAUGAUUUGCACUUUCUUAGUUAGAAUUUGUGUUGGUUUUGAUAGAAGAAUUUUUUCUGUGAAUUUUCAGCAUUUCUGAGGUACUUGUCGCCUAACCUAAGCUGCUCUGGGAGAACCUGCAUUAAUCUAUUGCAUGAAGGAGGAUCAUUUUUUCUGAAUGGUAGUGAGCACAUUUCGGAUGCCCAAAGUAACAGAAUGUGGCUUAGACAGAAAACCAUUUUUUUUCUUUGCUCGCUCUCCUUUGCAGUUUUGAUGCAAGGUGAUGUCUCCUAAAACAAUUUGUUUGACAGCUGAGGAAAAGGACUGAUGACUUGCACAGUGCACUUCACGAUGCAGUGGAGUCCCCUGCUUGUCACACCUAUACCUGAAAUUGCAUUAUGACUGGUGUUUGUCACUGAAGGUGCCUGCUCCAGGAGCCUUGACUUUCCCCUGCUCUGCAUGGGACCUACCCCUCAGGUACGUGGCUGCACCAUGCAGCACACUGCCUUCUGCUCUCAGAUCUGCUUGCUCAACUGAGAAAGCAACAGAGAGGAGAGAGGCUGCAGGAUGGUUGCUCAUCAAACCACAUCCUAAAGGUGGUGUAGCAACUUGAGGUGUAUGUUGCCAUCCCUUAAAGACCAGCAAAGCUGGUAAGCGCUUUGGAGAAGGGUGAAUCAAGCUGAAAAUAAGUCAAUUACUUGAAAGCUGGUAUAGCCUUCAUUUGUAAAACAAGCAGAGUAUAGGUUUUGCAAGUAUAGAGAAGAAGCUGUCUCAUCUUCUGAGUGAUUUGCAACUACAAUAACUCUUCUGUAGUUCUUUUUUUUUUUUUUAUACCUGUCUGUGUUCAAAUGAGGGUGCUGACUGAGGCUGCUGUGGGUCGUUUUAGACACUAGAGGCUGAGCUGAGACAAACAGACCCUUUUCUUUUCCCCCCCCCCCCCCCCCCUCUCCUGGGGUGCAUCACUCCUUUCAUUUCUGAGUGCAGUUCUGAGAAGAAAAAAGCCUCAAGAGCAUCAGUGGUUUGAUGUAUUUAUGAUUUUUCUGCAUGUUCCUGUUGUGAAGCCUACUGUUCUCUUUUUUUCUCUCAUCUUUCAAAACUGUAUUACAGCAGCAUGGCCAUUGCUACCAAUCUGUGCAGGGCAGAUUGUUUCUGUGAAUGCAUUCCAACAGGUGUGUUGUUUUUGUUUUCCUGCCAUUUAUUUUGCAAUUUAGUAUGAACACAGUACUUUACAUCUGUAUGUCAGUCCAGUUCGAACAAGUUCAGCUCAAGUAGUGGUUGAGUUGCGGUUUUGAAGGCAUGACUGCUUGGCAGCCUACGUCUGUAAAUGCUUUGGUGCUUUCAGCACAUAAUGUUUUGGGGCAGUCAUAGUGCAAUUGCAUAAUCUUAAAUUACGUGCUUUACAAAUGAGAGAUGAUUAUAAGGAUUGAAUGCGAGCAUGGAGCAGUUGAAAACUUGAUGCAUGAAAAAGAAUCUAAGCUCUUGUCAGUGCACCAUGCUUUUUUUUUUUUUAAGGAAAAAAAACAACCCAAUUUCUUUAUGAGGGCAUGUCUAGUUCAAUUUAACAUGAACCUUAUGAUGCCAGAGGAAUGUGAGAGAUUUCUUCCAGUUUUUGUAGGAUUUCCUUAAUGCAAUGCAUUGUUCAACGUUGUUGCACUUCACUCUUCCCCUGCCCCAAAUGAUGGGCUGGAAACCAUUCAUUUAUUUUAAGGAGGAAAAUUAAGGGAAAGUUCUAGUAGUGUUCAGUACGUGUUUUACCCUAAAAUGAAUGAAAUUUUGUUUAGGAUCUGAGAGUUGUUUUGCUUGUUAUUAAUGGAAGCUGUUCUCUCUGUAUCAGUUUUGGAUACUGUUCAGGUUAAGCCUUAGGUAGUGCUAAAGCAGUGGCCAGCAGUUCUCCUUCUCUAUUUGAGAAGAAAAUGUAAGAAUUAUUUGUAUUAUUGUAUUUCUUGUAUUAUUUAUGUAAUUAUUCUUAGCAGUUCUUCUUAAAGUGUUUUCUUAGCUUCAGCACUGCUGGAGUUGGAGAUGACAGAUUUGAAAAUGUUAUAUUAAAAACUGUCUGUUUUCUGUGUAUUUGUGCUCCACUGCUUGAAUCAGAGUACAGUUUUGGCCUCGAUGUUGUCCAGUGGUUGCAUUCAUUAUGCGUUGUGGGGAAAAAAAUGUUCUCAAAUUUGUUUUUCAACACUGCUUAUCUGUCUGGGAUUUCUCCAAUCCUUUUAUGAUGUAAUAUCAUGGAUAAUAUUUUCCACUUGUUUUUCACAUUGUUUAUGCUUUUAGCUCUCUUUCUUAUCUGUCCAGGGCCGUGAGUUCCCAGUAACUUUUGAUGUAGGAAAGCUGUACCGCAUCUCUGAUCAUUGGUUAUGUUUUCUGUAGUUUUUCUGCCUGAGCAAUAUGCAUACAGUUACAAACAGUAAUCAAGAACUGCUGUGGUACGUCAUAUGUAGUGGUUAUUUCUACUUUGUUUUCCUUUCUAAAAUACCCCAGUUUCUUCCCAUGCCUUUUGGUGGUGUGAAGCUGAUCUAUUUCAGUGAGCAAGUCUUUUCUGGAAGGCUAAAAAAUGUGAAGCCUCCUUAUUGUGAUGAUUCACUUCAGGUUUACCAGUGUGGGUCCAAGCAUGGACCCCUGACUACUUGGUAUAUCUUCUCUUCUUUUUCUCUCCCCUGCUUACCAUUUGAGAAAGCUUAUUGCUUUUGCUCAUAUCUCGCUUCGUGUUUGUUGAUUGGUUAUAAUUUGCAAGUAAUUUUUUCUCUCUCAUUCUAUGGUUAUUUGGUUUCUUUUAAGAGCAUUUGAUGAGGGAUCUUGCGGAAAGCUCCUCCUGAAGCUCCGUGUGUGUUGUUGGAUGUGGUAUGGUAUAUUGAAUGAUUUUUGGACACUCAUCGUCUCCUUUUGCAGAUUGUGAGUGCAGAUCUGUGAAAGUCUGAGUGCUUUGCUGCGUAUCUUCUUCCAAAGAAGUGCUGUUCAGCUUUGAACAAGCAAGUAAAACAAGGUGAAUAAUAGAGGGUAUCUCUAAUAAGCAGAGCCAAAAGGCACACCUUGAAGUUGUGGCAAUGGCAUGAGAUAACUCUGAAUGCGUUUUAACCUGUUUGCAUUGUGCUGCCUUCAACCCGAGCUGCGGCACAGUAGAACUGGAAAUAUUUGAAAGACACACGUUCCCUGCCAGUUGCAAGCCAACCACACCCUGCCUUGGGUUUGCUACACGUAUAAAGGUGCAUUCUUAAUAUAGUAUAAACAGUUCCUCAUGGUUACUGUGUAAUAAGCUGGUUUAAUGAAGCCUUUUAAAGGAAUAAAUACUGUAAAACUCAGCUUUACCUAACAGGUUCCUUUGUUUGAACGCUUCCAGCUGCUGAAUAAAAUCUGCAAAUGCAGAGAAGCUGAAGCGUGCAAGAGGAGGAAUGCUCAGAAUAACUCUAGUCUGUUUGCCUGUGGAAGUAUUUCUCUGAGCCUUCUAGAAUACAUUAAAAAGCAAUCUCUGGCUGAGCUCUGGGGUUUUAAAUGCCAACUGGAAUACUUGUGAAGCAGUGCAUGAAUGAAGUUGUUUCUGAUAGCGUCUCCUGUUCUGUCUGCUAAUUCUCGAAUGAUAUGCUGAAAAAUUGCCUGAUAAUCCUAAUGUAAUUAGUGUUUCAAAGAUGGUAAUGUUCUUUGUAAGUUCAUUUUGCCUUUGUAACAGUAAUUGCAAAUACAGUAUGAAGCUCUAGUCCUUCUAAGAUAAGUCUGUUCUUCAGUACUCCAUUAAAAAAUGUCACAACUGCAGUAUAAACCAAGCAAAUCCACCAAAGUUUCACAGUGACAUCCGUAAAGAGAAAAUCCUCUUUUCUGACCUGUUCUUGGGCUUGAUUUGUUGGAAUAACAAGGGCAUUUAUUGCUUUUUAAUAUCAAAGGUAAUGAUAUUUUUUUGGUCAGUGACUGCGUUGCUUCUUAGCAAAGCACAGUCUUUUAUUUCUGGGUGCUUUUAAAGUUAGAUGAAUUCUUGCUGGAGGAAAAUACACAAGUGUUCUCUCAUGAUGUGCUCCUAAACACAAUUACGGACCAGUAAACAGCAUAAGGACAUAUUUGUAAUACAGUAAUAAUAAGCUGUGGGCUGACAGUAAGGGACUGAAAAUAAUCUGUGAAUUAACUGCUUUAACAUGGAAGCUGCUUGGAGGCAGAAUAGAUUUUUGAAUCAAGGCCCAUUUGCUGUGUUUCAGAGUGCCACCUGCCCUUCUUGUGUAGAGCAGCACUGUGUUCUACUGCUUCUUUCUUGUUGAGGUUGGGGAGGAAGUCCGAGGAGUUUGAUAGGACUAACCUACAUUAAAAAUAAUUAGAACUGUAGUUGUAUAGUGGCUCUUUCCUGAUUUUUAAAACAACAAAACAACUUGCAUGUAGUGCUUUGUUGUAAUUAGGUUAAUGUAAGUAGCUAAUUACACUUCCAUUACAUUUCUACAGAGUUUUAAAACCAGAGAGGCAGGAUUAUCUUGGUACACUGUGUUACUGCGUGUAAUGAGGUGUAAUAAUAAAACAGUUCGGAUUUUGAAACUGUGUUCAGGGUGAAUUUUUUGUUUGUUUGUUUUCUUGCAUAUGAAACUUUGUGAGCUCAUAAGGAAACUUUAGUAAGAUCUUUGCAGAUGAGGAAGGUGUUGAUUGAAUUUGGUAAUAACGAUAACUUGAAAUCGAGGAUGUCUCAGAUUGGCAGACUUAAUCAGGAAAGUAAACACAACAUGCAUGCAGUGUUGUAAUACUGAGUGAGGUUGAUGCUCACACGGCAUAUGAUUGUGGCAGUUGAAACUCUAGUUUUAACUUAAGUAAAAUGUGCUCUUGGGACUUUCUUCUGCAAGUUGUGGUUGGUGAUUUGUGAGGUUGAAAUACCAAGUAUUGUAUGUUUAGAGGCUGUCAGGAUCAUUAUUCUCUAGAAUUACAUGUUAAAUUUUAGGGAUAGCUUGUAAGGUUCUGAAAUUGGCAGUUUAGUAAAGCCAAAUGCUGUUUCUUUGUAAAUUUUCGAAGUGGUUCUGUUAUGUAAGAAGAAUAAACAUGUAAAAAUCAUAUGACUCAAAGCCUGCUAAAUAUACAUGACUCUUCUCCAGAGGUAAUCAGAAAGUGCUCUGUUAAAUAUUUGGGAGUCUUAUCUUUAUACUAAAGAUUCCUGACUUAAAGAAAAGCAGUGUAGUAUUCUCAGAUAUCUUUUAAUUUCUGGAAAGGUUCCAUUAUCAGGUAGAUUUAAAAGGGAAACUUUGUUAACCAUGAACUGUAGAAUGGUGAUACUGAAGAUUAUUUCUGUUACCUGAAGUUGGUAACAAACCAGGUUGAGAUCAGUACUGGCAAUGGGAAUUCUGAUUUUCCUUUUAUUUCUAUUUUCAGAUUUUGCUUUUCUAGGAUUGGUGAAUUUAUUUCAAACUUGAGGAUGGCUACAAGUGACAGCUUCACCAAAAAUUUGUUGUUUCUGAAGGGAAAUUUUCAAGCAUCUUUUGAGCUUGUAUGUGAACAGCUGAAUGAGUUGGUGCAGUGAUUUAUAUUUACAGUUGUACAUUGAGUUUGGUUAACAUCUUAUAUCUUGCUUUAUUGUUGCAAAAUUGAGUUUUCACAGCCUUUUUUCUCUAAUGUAACGCAGAAGCAGAAUGCUGAAUUGCAAAAAAAGAAUGCUGUGAUAGCACCUGUGCAUAAUAUAAGGGUGGUCUCAUUAAGCUAUGGGGGGGAGGGAGAGGGUGGAAAACCCAACAGAAUGGAUUGCACCUUUUGUACAGUUUAUAUGUACAAGACUCACCCAGGUCAUUUAUGUCUUGUAAAGCUCCAUUCUUCCUUUCCAGAGGCUGAUAGCCUGCCUCUUAGCAAUUCCCAUUGCACUGUAAAAUUUCUGUUUAUGAUGCAAGAAAACCCUCAUCCCUGUUUUCUGAUAAUAAUUGAACUAAAACUGAUCUCAUACCACCUUUUCAGUCCUCUUGUUGCUACAGCAGGAUUUGUGGAAGAAGUUCUUGAGUUCACAAAGGGUGCUGUGUGUAUACUGAGCAGUAGAUGAGUGUGUUUGCUGGAAAGGAAAACUUUUACAUGGGUACCAUUGGACUGCCUUCAUUAGCCUUUGGGGCCAAAUGUGGUGCCAAAGUUCUCCCAGGAGUGUUAGGGAGACUGAGCAGCACGUGUUGCUACUCCUUUUCCUGCUGAGGGGCUAAUGCCAUGAGACUGAGUAAACAGGAGCUGCUCAGGAUGGCUCAGUUCACUGCUGUGCUAAGCACAGGCCAAGUAACAGGAUGGGUGGGAGAUGUUCUGGGAUUGAUUGGCAUAAAUGCAUGCUAUUCUGUGACCUGACGUGGAUCUCCUCAAUCUGGAGCUGCUGCUGAACUGUAAUGGGCUCUCACCUUCCGUUUUAGUGUGAUGAACAGCUUGUGAUGGCCAUGAGUAAGUGCUUGGAGCUUUUAUUUUUUGCCUUUGCUUUCAGCUGCCCACCUUCUCUCUGCAGGGAAGCACAUGGGUGGGACACAGCCCUGUAGCUUGCCGGAGAAUUUUUUAAUUUUGGUGUGUUGAGUAGGUGUAGAUCUUCUGGAACUGAAGAGCUUAAUUCACAUCCUUGUGGUAAGUUCCAGAUUUCAGGGAGUCAGCUUUUCAGGAAGCAGAGGAUCAGAGAUGCUGUGGUGUCUCUGCGGUGCUUUGGUUUGUAUGACUGACCCCUGCUCUGCUCCUACCAGAACUGUGUUACUCUGCAGACGAUGAGCUGAGCUGAUAUACCUUGAAACAGUUGCUGUGUGUUUAUAAGGGAAAUAGGUAAAAAAUUAAAGCUCGGACUUCUGCUGCUGUUCUGUUUUCCAGUUCUUUAUGAACAAAUCUCUGUGCCCAAGAAACAAUUCCUCAUCUGUUUCCAAUGUCAAAGGAUAGACAACGAGCUCUGAAAGCAGUAUUUACUUGUAGGAAUGUGAGACAAAUAUCUUGGACUGGAAUUUUCAAUCUACUUCUGCAUAUAUUGUCCAUGAAUGGUCUUCGUAUCUUCUCUACUCCUUUGUGGGUUUUUCCAGUUAAAACUGGAAAAAGUGUGAGGCCGUACGUGCUCUGUAAAUUUGUUGAGUUAGAAGACCUCUGAAGGCUUUGCUUACUCAUCAAAUGAAACGAAUUUCCAGAUGAUGGGUUCUGAUGCUUGCAGACAUUUUCAGUCUUAGGCUUCACUUUGGGGCAGUAUUUUCCUGGCGUCAGUCACUGCGCAGCACAGAGCUGCCUUGUAAGGAGCACUGAUGGCUUUGGAGGCUGCCAAAAAGUGUAUGUGGGCUGGUGGCAUGGAUGCCUGCGUUUGGGUGGGAUUUUUGAUGCCAGGAUUUAGCCACAAAAAGUGGAGGGGAAACAACAACACGGAGCCUGUUAUUUAGCACUAAAAAAAUAAGUAGUAAUAAGUACAUUAGUGUCUCAGUAUAGCGAUGCUGAAAUAUUGUAAAAAGCAAGAGAUUGCAUGAUACUGCUUGCCAUUUAGACACCUCAGCCUUUUUCAAAACACUUUGGACAAACAAGGUCACUCUCACAUUUCGGGGAAAAAAAUGUGUAGAAUAAGGAGGGAAAUUUGGAUGUGAAUAUUGUCCGGUGAGUUGACGCAAAGUAUUUUGGCUGUUAUCUUUAAGUGGAAUCUUGAAGUUACCAGGUGCUUUACAGUUCCAUGCCUGAACUACUGCCUCCAGAGAGAGUAAUACCCAAAUUCUUUUGUUCUUCACCCAGAGUUCUGUGGUAGUUGUGCAAAGCACUCACAGUUUGUGAGCACGAGAGGUGGAGUGAAGGGCAAAUUGCCCAAGUUGCUGUACUAAUGCUAUAGGAUUUGUAGGAUCUGAGACUGUAAUGUUUUUAUUAAAUAAUUUAUUUCCUAGCACAUAGCUUUCUACUACAAAUCCUCAUUUCCCAAGUGAAAGUGCAUUAUUCUGAAACCAUGAUCACAAAAAUAAUUUAGCUAAAAUUUGGCAGCACGUCCUAAAGUGAAGCUGUAAAACCUGUAUUGAAAAUGAAAUUUCAGUCUCUGUGGAAGGUUAUGGAGCCAGUACAUUCCAGCCCUUCCUCAAAUGCACAUAGUGUUCAGCAGACAGCUGAGGCAGUGCUUGCAGUUCAGUGGAUGCCCUGUGUAGUUUAGCUGGGUUUCAGCCAGAGAUAAAAGUGGAUUCCAUUGAUGAGGGGAGGCUGCAUGGUGGAUGCAACCCAACACUGUGUUGCUGCUGCGUGGCGGCUUGCUGCUGAAUUACUCUGCAUGCCUUCUUGGCAAUGCUAUUAAAAGAUUCUCUUCCUAGACAGAGAAACACAUCAGCUGAAGGAUCUGCACAGACAUUUUCUUUGACUUCAUAGUUUUUUGGGUUUUUUUGUGCUUUUCAGCCAAACAGCACAGUGAUUCACCUUGGGCACUUGCUGUGUACUAGCGUGGACACAGCAGGAUUGAGAUCACAUGGCUAAAAGACAGUAUCUUUUGGCAACACAUGCAGCAUUAGAUGGUCCUAAUGAAAUGAAACUUCAGUAUUUUACUGCUUAUGGUAUAAGAGAAUGUCACUUUUGAGUAUCUCAAAGAAUAUUUAAUAUGGCUAAGUGAGAAUCAAGCCUAAUUAAAUUAAAUUAUUCUGAAAUCUUUGUAGAAAAGCUUCUAAACUGUAAAUAACUCCCUUCCUUCCUUCCCUUUUCUCCUUAAAAAAAAAAUUACACUAUUAUCUGCAGUUUAGUUGCAUUAACUUCCAUUCUGUGCCUGAUCAUUAUUUUCAGAAAGCAGAGAACUAUGAUAAAUUGAUGUAUUUUUCAUAAUGUAAUAAAAUUAUAAGCUACAAAAGCAUGUAUUGGCUGGUCAGGCUUGUGCAGUUAAAGUAAAAAGUAAAAGAUUUGGUUCUCAUUCUGCAGUACUGACAAAUACAGCAUAUCAGCACAAAAGUGAUCUAUGAUUCAUUCUGUAUUUGAGUGAAUUUCUUCGAGAAUUGCAUGAAAGAGUUGCAUCAGUAUCUUAUCUCUUUCGAGAGGCAGUCAGCUUUUUCUACAUAUUGAGUUCUUUAUUGCCUUUAUAUUCCUGCAUGGUAUUUUGUUUUCCUUGUUUUAACUCCAUAAAAGAUGACCGUGUUAUGCAUUCACUAAAUGCCAAACAUUGCUUUUUACAAAAUGCACUGUGUAACUUGUUUGUUCCUGAGCUUCCUUAUGGAAAGGAUGUCCUGUGUUUGUUUACGUUCGUAGAUUGCUGUACUGUCUCGUAACUUUUGUGAAUGCCAUUGCAUUUUAUAUGCUUACGCAUAUACAGCACGUAAGCGAUUUGAUGGUCAGUGAGUUAUCAGACUGCUCCUUAUAGAGAUGGCUUGAGAUGAGAACCGGACUAAAACUAGAAGCAGGUGUGAAGUAAAGUUAGCAAAUACUCCAAAACAAGUAACAUAUCCAAUUGGCAGGGUGUUCUGAGGGGGUAGGUGGUGUCUGCAGGGAGAAGGACGUGCAUAGGGCAGUUGAGAAGCUGCAAGCGUGUGUGCGGGGCUCAGGGAGGUGCAGGGGGUUACAGCAGCAAUGGCUGAGCAGCCUCCUGCCUUCCUGCUCGUACUUCAAAACAAAGAAGUUGGAUGAUCAGACUCUUCAGUGGAGUUUCUUUUAGGUACUUGAGAGUUCUCAUUUGGAAAAACAGAGUGAAAGACUGCCCAGGUUUUAUGGCAGGUCUCUGUCCUGAGCCUGAAAGUGAGUGGUUAAUGUGAAAUCUCGUGAUCCUGUGUUGGGAGGAGAGUAAAGCAUGAGUGCUGGGAAAGGGCUACCGAAGUAACUUAUGUGCAAGUUGAGUUUCUGCUCAUAUGAAGCGGACAUAUGCAGAAAGAUGUUAGUACGUGUUCAUAGAAAUGAUGAUUAAUUAUGAAUAAGUAGUUUCACUUAUUUUUUUUUCCUCUUUUUCCAGAACUGCAUUUCUCAAGCUGCUGAAGUUUGUUUGCCCAGCCCUUUGUAUAACUGAAUCCUGUAGUUGAUGCAGAAUUGCACACUAUCAGGCUGUGAAAUAGAAAAGGCAGGGAUGGUUUCUAGAUAAAUAUGAUAAAAAUAAUUUUCCAGAGUGUGGACAUAAGUGCUACUGUAAAGAUCCUGCAGAUGCUCAUGAUUUGUUUACUGAACGUGAUGUAUUCUAUCCUGUUUGCAAAAGCACCAACAGUGAAAUGUGCUCCGACCGUGGCUUUGCAUGCACUGUUGCUUUAGGAAUUCAGUUUUGUUUCACUUCAGGAAGUAGAGCUGUAGCCUGUUACACCUCAGCAAAGACUAAAGUGACUUUUUGAUGGCGUGUGGCAGAUGAGGCUAUGUCCAGGGUGAUCUGCCCUAUCUAUGCACACUAGUAAGGAGCAGUAAGGUACGAAAUCAAUAUACAGUGCUUAAGCUUGUUCUGAGAUGCUCUUGUUCAUGAACUUUCCUUGUUUCCUUGGGUACUUCUCAUGUUCUAGCCACACUUUGAUGGACUGUGAAAUAUUUUUAAGCUCUCAGUAGAUAUACUGCAUCUUCAGCUGCAGUGCUAACAUUUAAUAGCUCAGGCUUGGAGAAUGGUAUAACGAAUGUUGUAAUGUUUAUUAUGUUUUUGAAGUUUUAUUAAUGUGCUCACCCUCUUUGUCAGGUCACCAUAAAUAAAAGGGUGUUGCCUUUUUAAUUUUAAGUUUAAUAUCUGGUAAAUUACUGCUAGGUAUGUGGUUGUUCUUAAAGUAUAAAACAUUAUAAAAUGGUGAAAAGGAGAGUUUGUCUAUAGAAAGCUUUAUUAGAGGCUACUUUCUGCCUCUCCUGAGAAAUUUUUAUGGAGAUGGAAGGGAUGAUGUGAAGUGGUUUACAGUGCUGGUUACUUUCAUUAGUUCUGUGCUGCAGUUUUUUCACCUUAGGUGUUUGUGCGGGUGAGAAGUAUGUCUGUACCUGCUGAUGCAUACCGUUGCGGUAUUUCUCAGACCCUCAGACAAAAGCAGGCAGACCAAAGGUGUCACUGGAUGUGGCCCUCCGCUUAUCCCGCUGCCAGGCAGCUUCCCCUCCCCAUCUUCACAGUUUUAGCUGCAAAGGGGAGUGUGAGUGCUCUGUAUCUAAGGAGCUGGCUUAGCUCCUGUCUGGCUGAUUUUUGCCCUGAGAAAGUUCAGUCUCACUUGUGAGAUCCUUGGUUGUGAGGGAGUGCUUUGGGAACUAAGCAUGUUCAAAACCCAUCUUGCCUGAGCUCUGAAUUUGUAAGGCAAGAUUUGGUUUGUUUUUUCUCUCUUUUUCUGCCUCAAAUAGGCUCUCCUUUAAGUUCCUCCUCCAGCUCUGUAGGACACAACAGCAACAAGGGUCAGGUAAUCUCGCUGUGUGCAGAGGUGGCAACAGCUCUUCUUGGGAAAGCUGCGAAGUGCUCAGUUUUCAAGACUUCUUUCAAGAGACUUUUGUCUCCUGCUGUUUUCACGUUCAGGAAUGGAUUCGAUACUUAGAGUUAUUCAUUUUAUGUAGAGUUAAUUGAUAAAUAUUCAUCAGAGUAUUGCUGAAUUGAAGACUGCACGGCUUUAUAUUUUUAGAGGCACAUUUUCAUUCCUUCAUGCUUUCAGGAAAGGGAAGGACAAUGAAGUCUUCUCUUUAAAAUGAAGUUAAUAUCCCUUUCAGCACUUAGAGCUCCUACAAAUCUUGUGUGUUCCUGGACUCAAGAGCUUGUUUUAGCUGGACUGCUUUUUAGCACCGCUCUCCACAUGUAAUUAAAGCGCUUUGUGUGUUGUGCUUUGGUCCUAGUACAAAGAAAGCCCUGCAGCUUGUUCUAAGAGCAGCUUUUCCACAGCCAGAUUGGUCUUUUAAACAAAGUGGUGUAACUGCACCUAACGCUGUGUUUGCGUAGUAAAUGUUUGUAGAGCUCUAAGGGAGACCAGGAGCAUCUAGGUGAGUGCACUGCGCUGCCACACUGGGGUUCUGCUGAAGACAGGAGCACUGUCUGGAUCAGGUCCCUCUCUGCAGACUCCUUUGUUUGCAGAGAUGGAAGCGACUGUUUCUUUUAUAAGGCCUAACUAGAUGUUUGUGAAAAGCUUUGAGACGCUUUUGAUUAACGACUAUGCAGUAUGUGAUUAUAUCACACAUAAUAAUAGUGGGUAGGAGGAGACAGACUGGCAGCGUAAUUCUUGCAGCAUUGUGAAAACUUCAGGCUUUGUUCUUCUUCAAACACUGUCUUUACAUUUAAACACGAUUUUUCUCUGCCGCUUCCCCUAGUCUUUAUCUCCUCCAACUAAAAAAAAAUACCAAAAAACCAAAAAAGAAGCAUUUCUCUACCUUUAUUUAAAAAUUAAAAAAAAAAAAAAAAAAAAGAAAGAAAGGAAAAGGAAGAAGAGGGAGUGAGGGAAGAAAAAGUGCCGGACGUGUAUCUGCUGUUUUGGCUAGUGUAGUUGUAUGAUACUUGAAUGAUCGGUGCUGUUCUGCUUUUACCAAAAUCGGAGCCACGCUCUUCUCCUCUAAGUUUGAGAUUGAGUGGGUGACGGUUUUGAACCUCAGAAACUGAUUUUCCCUGUUUUUCUUUUCUUCAUUUUGCAUGGUAACCUCUUGGCUGGAAAUUUAUAGUCAGGAGGUUGCUGUAGCCUGUAAUGUGAGCUCAGAUUUUUGUGACAGGAACAUUUGUUCCAGGGGGCUCCUUUUACAGCUGGGCGGGGGUUUGGGUGGAGUUGUGCUGUGGCAGAAGGGCCGCUUGGGAGCCUGGCAGCUUCUUGUGCAGGGAUGCGGUUAGUUAAGUGUUGUCCAAAUUUGAGAUUCUUCUGGAUGUCCAGCAGUGCUUUCCAGAAAGCUUACAGCUCUGCAGAGGAACCAGUGGUGUUUUCUCCUGCAGCUUCAUUUAGUGGUGCUCCGCAGGGCUUGCACGCUUGUUUCUAUGAGGGCAGGCAGGUGGGCCUGUGCACACUCCAGUUUUGUUGCUUCUGUUCUCCCCAGUAUAACUUUUAUUGCCAAUCAUUUGAUUUAUAAACCAGGAUCCCAGGAGGCACAAAUAGCAUGCUGGUAGCCCAAGCCAGUGGAAAGUUUAAAAACAAAAACAAAAAAACAACUAAGAUACAGCGUAGCAAUGCAUUCCUAGGCAAGAGGCCUGUCAGAGAAAUCCCUCAUGGUUUGCCAGCAGGAUGGAGAUGGCCAACAAGCAUUUAACAUGCGUGCUCAUGUUGUUUCAUGUUGUUUCAUGUUCUUUGUUAGUUGUAACGCUGGAAUAACAACUGGGGACGCUCAUUUCUGUGGGCGCUCACCUGUGUGAGGUUGGUGACCAGCAGUAGGCUUCCAUCUCUGGUGGUUCCAUUGUCAGUGCAGUUUGAGAGGGAGAACAGCUUGCUUUGGUAGAAACACCAGCUUAUUCCCCAGAGGUCUUGUUCUUAUGGUCUUCCUGAAUUCUGACUUGGUGCCACCAAACAAUAAAUCAUUGCUUCCACUAAAAAUUUGUCUUUGUUUUUGGGAAACACAGUGUGUGAAAGCUGAUAGCACUGCUAGUGGGCAAUAUUACUGAUAUUACUUACUAGUGGGUGAAGAAAUUAAGCAGAUUAAGCAGAUCAACCUCUUUUAGAAAUGAACGUAACCACCCCCAAUGUUUUCCUGAAUACAUGCAAAUAUGCUUUGUCUUGAAGUGAAGUGCCUUCUGGUAUUGUCACUAAUGAGGCACACUAUCACAGACAGGUUGGCAGAGGGAAUUUGGGUAAGAGCUGACACCCUGUAUUCUAUAGAUGUGUUGUGGAAGACAGUAGACAGUUGUAGAUUGUAUUUUGGCUACAUGAUUUGUUUUUAAAAAAAUAUCUAAAUUAUAAGAUUGAUAUUAUAUGCCUAUAUGGAAAUAGAUUUUGUUUCAGGCCUUUUAGGUUUGCCCACACUUGCUCUUUAGACUGUUAAUCAGACUCAGAGUUGCUUAUAAGUUAAUCAUGCAAAAAAAGUUAAACUAGUAGCAAUACCAGUAUACUUCUUUCAGAGGAUACAACUCCAUUUUAUGUAUCUGGCAGUGCUUCUGUGGAGUUUUGUACUGUGAAAAAUAAGACAACUUUCCACUUGUAUGAUGUGUAUAAAUUCAAAAACAUAGAAUGUGGAAUAAAUAUUUCACUUAGUAUGGAGAAUUGGAGUGGGAAAACAAGAAUUCUCAAGUAACUGCAGAAAAUAAGUGGCAAAUAUCACAAAGGAGUGGAGAGUAAGAUGAAAGGGGAGGUGAGCCAGAAAUGUAAAGGUAUGGCAUGAACUGCUCUGAAGGGAGCUCAGUGUUCACAAUCGUGUUCUUUUGGAUUGUGACAACGUGGCAGCUGCAGCAGUUUUUGCUGUUGAAUGAGCUCCAAGCCUUCCUUAAAACCUGUCCAUUUUUGCAAGCAAUAGGGCUCUGAGACCUGCUGUUCCUGCUGUGCUAUACUUCUUAUUGCUACCGUGUUUAACAGAUUGAGAAAGGGUUGUAUGCUUCUUUGAAAUGUAGGUGAACAAAGAUUCCAGGGUAGGUUCACAUUUUAACUCAUAUAAAAUUUAUUCUUCGUUGCAGUAGAACAUUGACUGCUUUUUCUUAACAGUCAAUACUUGCAGCUGUAAUGAGCUCGGUCUUUGUGUGGGAGAAUAGAAAAGCAGGGAACGCUCUGUUGUGAAAAUAUACAGGGUUUUCUAUAGUAAGGAAAUUUUGGUCAGUGGCAGGGCAAUGUUUAUAGUAAUUACAGCAAAUGAAAGACACCCAUUUCUGAUGAAAGAUUUGGCGGAUGUGUUGGAAUUGUUGUAUGCAGAGACCGAUGGUAAUUACCAACUCAUGUUUCAAGUCAUUGUAUAAUGUCGGUGAUGCCAAAGUUUAGAGGCUGGUGGCCAAGGGAUGAUUAGAAGUUUAUCACCAACCAUUUUAGUGGGUUGGUUUUCUACUUUUUUUCCAGACUCCUUUUUUUUUUUUUUUUAAACUAUGACAAUAUUAAAUUCUUUGAAAUUGAAACACUUAAUCUGAUCAUUUACAUUGUAAGCUUUGGCUUCUUUCCCCCAUGCUCUUUCUUUCCUUGUAUGCCGUACCUUAAGUAUUGAGUUUCAUUAAUAAACAGUCAUUCUUGCUCAAAUCUAGCUGAUGUUAAUCUGAGCUAAAAACAAGUAUCAAUUAAUUUCUAAUGGGAUAACUUCGUGUUAAGCAGCAAUAUGGAGAAUACAGUAUCACAUGAAAAUCGCUCACAGACUUACCAACCUUAAGGUAGAUGCAACUUUGUAAUGUUUGUCCUUUUCACCUUCAUGACAUUCAGCAUAAGCAAUGUAUUUGAUACAGUGGCAGGAGAAAAUGUGCUCUAUGUGAAUCAGUUGUUGAUAAACACACCAGGCUACAGCUCGGUCACCAGUGAUGUGUUGGGGCAACAUCUUAGCAAACUCGCUUUUAGAAAUGAAUUGUUUGCUACAAGCAAACAAAGAAGGAUCAAUUUCUUUUCUCCCGAGAAACCUUGGUGGCAGUGGUGUGGUCUUAGACAGCCAUUUUUCUUUUUGCUGUUAGAAAACUUCUCUGGCCCACUUGGAAAAUUUAUUAUUUUAAGAUACCGCCUGUAAUCUUUCUCUCUGUUGUGAAAUUGAAAGGUAAUGCUAGUAUUCUCAUCUUUCUAAAAAUAUAUAUAUAUUUUUAAACUCAGACUCCCGAGUGCUAUUCUGUUGAAGCGUGUGUCAAAACAAGAGCCUGUGAUGUAAUGGAGACUUGGAAACGCUGCAGUUGUGCACUUUGAAAGUAAGUCAAAAACUUUCCAGUUUUGAAGAUGACCCACUGAAAAAAAAAAAAUAGAGUUUGACUUGUGCAGUUUCAACUUUCUGCUUUGAAAGCCACUGCUGCUUGCUUUUUCAUAAAGUUUGUGGUGGUUCUUUUUUAAUCUUACGUGUAUCAGCAUUGCAUCUGUUGGUUCCCUUUUUAUUUGUGGAUUUUGCAGGGAUAACCUGUAAGAGAUACCAGAGAGACUGUUAGCUAUGUUUCCUGUAUACUUCCUAUUUCCUGGGAAAAAGAUAUGAGUUUUUUAGUACUAGAAAGCAACGAAUUCAUAUGAAAGUAUUUUAAGAGCCCUGUAUAAUUACUUCUCCAAUACUUCAUCUUCCUUCGUUCAUCCAUUCUCAGCUCUAGGAUAGAUCUGACUGCACUGCACAGGUCAGCUAAACCAAUUAGGAAGGUAACCCAGAAAGAGGCAGGCUGGAGGGGAAAUAAGCUUAUGGCUUGUGUGAACUGCAUGGCUUGAAUUAAUCUAACUUCAUUUGUUUAGGAGGAGUUAAUGAGAUUUAGCUGAUUAAAUUUCAUUCAAUUUGGUUUUUGAAUGUCUUCUGCAGGAGAAGAGUAUGGCAAGAGUUAGUGCUGAAGCCACUGCAGGGGGAGAGAACUGCACUGUAUCAUUACAAGUGUUUGAAAACUUAAGAGUGUAGUGUGACCCUUAUUUGCAUCACUUAUGAUCUGAUACCACAAAUAUCUGAAUAUUGCUAAAUCUUGUUGCUUUGUUCAUAUAUAUGUACACAAUAAAUUCAUGUUCGUAUAUAUAUAUUAGUAUAAUUUUGAGGAAAUGCCACCAGCCUUAAUGGCCCCAUCACGAGAAGAGUGUUUUGCAGGGCUCUGGAGCUGGGUGUGAAAACUGCACUGCAGCAGUAUAACUAUUAGACCAUUUUCCUAGUUACUCUGCCCCCUGUUUCAUGUGCUAUCAUUUGGCCAAAUGGCUGCUGUCUGUACAUUAUUUUGCAUCUUAUUUGCUGGGCAGUAGAGCCUUACAGAGGUUGUGUGUGUGUGAGAUUGUGGUGGGGAAGUCUCUGUAGAAGGGAAAUGUGUCCUUAAAAGUUCAAAGAAUAUCUUUUUGCAAGUGUAAGCUAAUCUCUGAUUUUCCCAGAGGGUAUCGUGGCUUUCUCUGGAGUAAGUGGAAUUAGCCAACAGUGUUUAUGGGGGUAAGCCCAAAAUGAUGAGUUAAAUGGUUCUUUUUAAAGGUUAUUUUCUGAUGGUUAUCUUAAGGUGUUGAACGACGUAGGUUUUCUUUUUCUUUUUUUUUCUUCCUACUUCUGUCAAAAUUUGUAUAUAAACAGUAACAGUAUGGAGUAAAAAGCCUGAAAGAUAAAUAGGACAGCUGCUACUUAUAGCAGAGGGGAAAAUGUGCUUUAUAAUUCUUGCAUAAAAAUUGGUUCUCUGGGAUUUUUCACUAAUUAAUAUUGUAAAGUAAUGUUGCCCUUGGGAUAAUUUUAGGAGGUUGUAAAUACUCAGAAUAUUUGACUUAAAUGUGUGUUUUUCAUGUGUUUGCAGAACUAAUUCUUUAAUGUUCUCCUGACAGUUAAUCAUCUUGAAUGGUGGUCAUAAUCAGUAUUUUGCUUUUUAGAGCUGCUCUGCUGCACCCUUAUUUCUGGGGAAAAAGUAAAAGUAGUCGGAAUAAUAGAACUGAACUGAGAAGACCUUGCUAAGAAAUUGUAUGGUGGUUUCUGGGAAACGAUCUCUGUUUUUUACCUUUCUAAGGAGAAAAAAAAGGUCCUAAUUAGAUGAAUGUUGAAAGAACAGCUUCCUUUUUUUUUUUUUUUCCUUGGAAAAAGGUUCAAAUUUUGAAUACUGUAACAGAGACUAAUUAGAAGAUCUGUUGUAACCCACUGGUGGUAAGAAAUUUGCAUAUACAAAAAAAUGUAGUGACAUCUGUGUUACUGGGAAGUUUAAAAGGAGUUUGACACUUGAGUGUGAUGCUUCUCAACCAAGCAGAAGCAUGUAAGCUUUUAAAUUAUUUUCCCCUUCUUUUUUACUUUAUAUAUGUAGAAACAAGUGCUGUCACAUUUAGGGAAUUGUUAGGUGGACUUAAUGUAUUGUAGUCCUGCUGGACGUGUUCUAUUUUGGGGAAAUGUUAGCUUUUGAAGAAGUUCACCUUCAGGUAGCAUUGGGUUGUGCGUGGUGUUUGGCCUCAUGACGGUCCUGGGCUGAUCUUUCUCCCUCUGCCAAUUAACUUAAGGUGUCAUCAGGAGGCAUUAAUGACUUCAGUGUUAACAGCAGUAUUUGUAAUUGUUUAGCCAGGGGGUGCCCUUAAAGGGAAGCAGAGGAUGGCAGGACAUAGAGAUGGCAGGACAUCUGUAACGUGGCCCAUGCGGAUGGCGGUGCUUGAGAGUCAGGUCACAGUGCUGCGAGGGAGACCUCAGAGAUGCUGUGAUAUACCUUGGCUAACUUUCUUGUAAUAGUCCACUCCUGUUGUCAUUUAAAAACAGGUUUGGUUUGGCUUUUCCCAUCGUCAGUCAAAGAUGGGUGUUAAUAACUUGACUGCAUUUCUGAUUGGUUUUGGAGGGUCUUAAGAGCGGAAGUAUGCAAGUGUAGUUGUUGGUACAGCUUUCUUUCACUGGUGGGAAUGGUCAUUUUUAAGUCACUUCCAGACAUUGCUUUUGUCUGCCUGCAAUACCUUGCCUAAGACCAAAUCUUUUCUAGCUCAGGUGCAUGCAAGUAGGGAGGUAAGGGGUCUAGCUGGGGCUGCAGCCACUUGAACCAGCUGGAACGUGGAGAAUUGCACACUGCAUACUGAAAGACAACUUGACACAGUUCUUGAAGAUCAGAGAGAAACAAGCAAUCCAAACAGGGCAUUGCACAACAGAAAAUGUGCAUCCUUAACUAUAUGACAUCUUUCCCUCAGGCUGAGACAACGCAGUUUCAAUGUUAAUGGCCGAAUGCUCACAGUACAACAAGUAGUUUAGGUAAUUAUCUCAGGGGCUGUCUUUGUUUUUGCUGCACCUAAUGAAGUAGGCUAUGUUUGUGGUUUAAUUUGUUAUGCACUAUGGUAAUAGAAAUAUUUAAGUGCUUAAUUCUUACUAUAUAUACUUGAAAAUCACAAUCAAGGGAAAUUUUUAUGUCCUUUGAGGAAUGUUUUCAUGCUCUUAUUCCUGAAAUCUAAGUACUGUUUUGCAAUAAAAUUAAACACUCCAUGCUACACCCUGUAUUUCAUGUAGCUUGUGUUCCCAAGUGUGUGACGUUUGUAGUCAGUAACUGUGCUGUUACUAUCCAGAUAUAACUGAUUGUUUUUGAAGUUUGCAUGGUAUGCAAUGUCAAAGCGUUAAUUUAUCACCUAACUGUCUGAAGACAAACUGCCUUUAGUCAGGUGGCAAAAAUCUCCAUGGGAUUUUGUAACUGACUUGGAGAGAGAGUCGUGAUGUGCUGUAGUAGUGCGUGCCCACAUUCUCCCUUCAAGAAUUUACCAGUGUGAUUAUAUAAUGAAUUUCUUGGGUUUCAUUGGCCCACUGAGGGAGAUUUGGGCACUUCAUUGUGACUGGAUGGAUCUGAAUAAUGGACAAGCCUCUCUUGCAGAGGGACCUGCAAGCUAAGCUGCUCAAAGCUGAAAGCAAAUCUUUCCUCUUCUUUCUGAACUGACAUCUGAAAGAAAUGAGAUUAGCUGAAACUUCAGCCCUGUUUCACGGAUUUUAAAAAUAGAAUGAAUGAAGGAAAUCCCUCCUUGAACCAGAGCUACAUAAAGAGAUUCUUCACAAGUAACACAUUAUCCUUGCUCUUUCAUUUCUCUGCAUUAUGGUCAAUGUGAAGGUAGAAAUGCUGAAUGGAAUGGCUGUUUAAUGCAUUUUUCUCUCAUACCUAUGGAAACAAGAAUUUAGACAGUGAAAUUAAUUUAUCUUUCUUCAUAUAAGAUAUUCACUGGUUUCACUAAUUCAUUUCAAGUAGGAAACUAGCAGUAUAAAUGUUUAAAAGGAGAACUGACCUUAUUAAUUCAGUGCUCAGAGGAAGCAAUAUCACACUUUUUAAGGCAUAUUAUAAACUUUUUCCUGUGAGCCUUCACCACAAGUACUUUUAAAUAAAUAUGUGCCCAUCUUUCAGGCUGCAAUUGUCAUACCAUGGAAGGUGAGAGAGGUAGUAAUCGCACAUUGCCAACUGAUGAUACAUGAAAUGGAAGGUGAAACAGUGCAGCUCCUGUUAGCUGGAAGCAUCAAUUAUGCUAUGAAUGUGUGCUUUAGGUUGGCUGUGUCAUUCUCUGGCUGUUCAGGAGGACCCCUGGUACAAUAUUCUUCUGUUUUCUAAAGAGCUGAGAUCUCCAGGCUAUCUGUUGUGAAGAGACACUAGAAAUAAAAAAGAUAUUCCAUGAGCUAAUGUGAUGGGAAUCACAGCUGGGGAACAUUACUUUUUAGAUUAUCUGCAAAAUCCCCCGUGUACCUUCUCACUUCUGAAAUGAUUGUUCUUUCGAGGCCUUUAUUAUGUCAAUCUUGACUCACUUCUAAUCUUCCCUUCCCACUUAGAGAAAUAGCAUUAUAGUUAUCCUCUUAGGAUCCUCGGAGUUGAUAUUGUUCAAAAUAUCAUGUGGCUUCUUUGAUGCUCCCUUUUUAGAGGUCAAGAUAAUUCUGCCUCCUUUAAAACCCUUACAGAACUGUCUCUGGGUGUGUGCUGUUCUAGUGUAUGCAGCUUUGAUUCUGAUUGUAGGAGGGGAAAAGGGAAAGAGAUUUGUAUAUAUGAAUAUGUAUUUCAUAUAUUCAGAGAUAUAUUGAUAUAUACUUAGGAUAUAUUUGAAUGUGCGUAUGAAAUCGAAGCUUCCCAUAAAGCAUGCAUCUACUGAGAUAGAGAGGAGUUUUGUUGGUAUAGGUUUCAUUCAUGCAAUGAUUGUUAGGAAGAGUAGGUAUUUCUUGGUAUAAAAGAAAGCCCAGGCACUUAUAACUAUAGAACUUUACGUGAUGAUACAGUUUUUGUACAGCACCACAUGGACCUUCUCAAUAGCAUUACAUUAGAAUUAAAAUUUUAAUUGGAAGAAACUUAGGCAAGCUGGAGCGUGGACACUGCUUCUUCCUGUUGGUAGGAGUAGGAAAACAAACCAGUCAGCUCUCCUCUCCUGCUCUAAGGCUGUUAGAGGUGUGGCAGCAGCUACACUGAUCCAACUGAAGAGGAAGUACUGACAAAAAAAAUCUUUUCCUUCAAGGAUGACCUGACCCCAUGGAUUUGCAGUUGAAAUGCAACUUCGUAUGGUGGAAAGCUGAAGCGUAUGUUCAUAGUAAAUGCGACACCUCACAGCAGAGACAGGUUUAUUCAUAGCUGCGUCUUGAAAUAGCGUUAGGUUUGACAUUCAAGGAAAGUACACACAUUUAGCAUACAACUUAAGUACAUGGUUAUAUUUCCGUAAUUGCUUUGUUCUCCUUCUUUUUUGCGUGCUACAGAAUACAUGCUUCACUGAUAAAAAAUAAUAAUGGAGAAAUUAAAUUAGAAAUGGUUGCUUUUCUAAUUAGCUAUGAUAAAAAUCAAUACUUGACCAUGAAAGUGAGAAAUCUUGGAUCUUGAUUUCCUUCUUAUCUAUCUCUUGUCCAGUGGUUUGUGUUAAUUAAAUCAGAGCUAGCUCUGCCCUGGCCUCUAUGUAUACUGCUCCUGUCUAAUGAAGAAAAUAUCUGUUAGUAAUGCAGUAAGCGUAAACUAGGAAAGUCCAUUGUGAAUACUUUGAUAAGAGUAGUAGCUAAUUAUUGUGGUGAUAAACUUAGGCUACUACAAUCAAUAGUCGUAACUUUUGAUGUGUUUUUAAAAUGUGGACUGGCAAUCUGUUGGACAAAUUGUAGUUAUGUGAGGGUUUACUGCUAGUCUGGCUAAUACAGAGAAAGAUGUGGCUUGUUGGAAAUAUAUUUCUGUCAGAUGGACUUUGUCCCCUAUGUUAAGUGAUUUGAAGGGACCACUAGAGGUCGUGUGCUUCAGUGCCACACUUGAAGCUGGAAGAACUUUGAAGUUAGUCAAGGCUGCCUGGGACCUUUUCUAGAUGAGUGUCAGGCUGUUUCUGGAGAAGUUCCUACAGGCUCUCCAGGCAGCCUGUGGCAGUGUGCGCUAGGUGUUUCUGUGCUGCUCAGGGAACAAGCUGCUCAGUUUUCUUUUUGGCACUUGGUUUCUGUUUGGGUAACGAAGGCUUCUGAAUUCUUGAGUCUGGAAUAACUGUCCAACAGGGUUCUCUGUCUUUUUUUUUUGAGGCUCAGGGUUGGAAGACCUUGGAAUCUGCUGGAGCCGUGGAGGAGAUGGAUAUGACAGAACUUGAGAGUUUGUAGGUUUUCUCAGUGCUGGAAACGAUCAAAGCAGAUGUUUCAUUGAUAAUGCAAUGAAAAGAUGGAAAGACCUGACAGAAGUGAAAGAAGUUGAUUAUCUGUGGAAUGAUAUGUUGAAGUUAAGGAUUAUUUGUGCUUAGCACCUUUCUCACUUUCCAUGAACCACACUUUUCAUUCUUUAUGAUCUCGUAUCGUCCUUACUUUUGAUAUGAUAUACACAAUAUUUUUAAUACAAAAAUCUAGGCUACCUGUUCUUUAUUAUUCAUGGUUACCUCAUUUUACUACUCCUCUUCCUUUUGUUUGUUAAUCAGUGCUUGACUAUUACCUUAUUAAGAGAUGGAACAGUCAAAACUGAGAUUCAUGUCAGAAAUAUAUAAUUGUUCACUAAAGGUUUCCUCAGCUGUGGUCUAAACCUACUUGCCUGGAAAGCAGCAUUGUCCGAACACCCUGCUGCUACUCCUUGGAUGACUGCUCCUAUCACUUGGUAAUCUAGAAGCCACUGUGGGGCAGGAAUGUCUGUUAUUUAAACUAGUAAAUGUAAACAAGAAGACCCAUUUUUGUCAUGAUUUAGUGGUAGUAUGUUUGCUUAAUGUAAAGGAGCACUUUUAGCGAUAGUAAAUCGCUAAGUUUGUGUCCUGGAUUGGUGGUUUUGGACAUACUUGUAAAAAGCAUGAGACUGUAAGUGUGGAAAACCACACCACUGGUUGUGAACUCCUAGCAACUGACUUCCCUCCUUGUGUCCUGGCAAAGAGGAUCUGUUGAGACCAAUUUGGGUUGUACUUGUGCUUUAAUGGUUCCUGUCCAUCUUGGGCUGUCUGUUAGAGUAAAUUGCAGAAUCCUGCUAUUAUCUGUUAGGCAUCCAAUUGUGUGACUUGUACAACAGUCAAGUUGAGAUUUUCUCACAGAAAAACCAUUCCUAACCUUAUGUUGAGUCUCCCAUCUGAAUCUGUUUGCAUUGCCAUGUCCAGCACAAACACUGCAGCUCUUGCUCCUGUUCUCUGUUGCAGCAGAGGGGAGCAGCAAAGCCUGCCUGGCUUCCAGAGCUGUCUGAACGCAACAGCAUCAGCUGUAAUAGCCAAGAUGAGUUCCAAGGGAAAGGAAGCUGCUAAGCUGGAGAACAAUAUUUAAUUUGGCAGUAGAUUUUAUGUUGGUAUUUCAAGGGAACUGUUAGCCAGUAUUAUGGGGGGGUGGGGAGGUAGGGUUGGAAUCACAGUUCAGGAAAUGCAUGGAGCUUUGAAACUUAAGUAAUAAGAAAACCAAUCACCUCUGUGACCAGAGGUGGAUGUGCAGGCCUAGGUUUAAAGCUUAGUCACGAGAUGAAAGAAGUCAUCUGUCAAUUCUUCCAAAGUCUGAUCAUUCCUGUAAAUCACUCCUGGAGCCUGUUUUUAACAGGUGACUGAGCUGAAGCUCUGAAGGGUUCUGUUGGAAACAAGUACUGCAAAAACGUAUCUGUAAUCUAGAUUUUAUCCAUUUCUGAAUACGUGUUAAACUUGUAAUACUAGGCAUUGUGUUCCCAUCUGUUAAUGUAAUUUUGUAGACAAUAACUUUAAAGAGUUUUGGCUUGUAAUUUGAUCUUUAAAUGUUAUUUCAUAAUGUAAUACGUUUGAUACUUAUUGUUUUUCUGAAAAACUCAUUUUACUCACAAACUGCCCAUUCUUUCUUCUUUUCAGUGAAGUUCAUACUGUUGAGGCUUCUCAUAGGCUGCCUUGUUAGCGUCAAGUAUUCCACUGAAACUGAAAUGAGUAAUGUUGUUCUCAGUAUGAAAACGCGUGUUAGUUUGAGGGUGUUUUAAUCUGCUUUUCAAUUUAAAUGCACCUUACUAUAAAUAAAGGUACUGCCCUGACUUUCUCACUUUGGCAAAAGUUUUUUCCAAAAGACUUCCCCAAGAAGUCAGAAGUUGUCAGGUUCGUAAGUGAAAGUGAAAGUAACUGCAAAUCAAAUGAGACCUGAACUUUUGAGGGGCUGCCCCGUGAUACAGUGUGCCCGUGUGUCUCAUGAAAAGCUGUGCUGGUCCGUUUGCAUGUCCAAGUUUUUUGGCUCCUUUUUGUUAAGGAGUGGGCUCCAUAUUUGAUCUACAGGUUAUUUGUUUGGGGCUUAAGUUCGGUAAUAUUGUUUAAACACUCAAAAAUUUAGGCAUAGGGUUGGUCUCUAAACUGACCUGUUGUUUAGCUGACAGUUUUGUGAGGUCUCUGGUUCAAAUAACUAAAGCCGUAUUAUGUUUAGGUUUUCCAAGAUUAACAUACAAAACAACUCCUUUUUCUUUUGUAUCUUUGAACCCAAUUUGUCCAUAUGCAGAAGAAGUUGGUUUUAUUGGAGCUCUUUUUGCAAAUAAAUUCUGCCACUUGUAUGUGUUUCUUGUUUUUGGUGAAAGGCAUAUCUUGUUGCCCUUCAGUCUGCAGCCUGUGGUUUUUUUUUUUUUUUCCUGCAGCUCUGUGUUCUUAUUCAUCAUUUGAUACAAAGAAUUCAACAGUGCAAUAAUAAAGUUGGGAAUAGGACUGCUUUGUAGGGGCUUCUUCAGAAGGAUACAGGAAUGCAGAUAGAAGGGAGUCUGCAGUAAUAUAGAAGAAUGGUCAAAGUAAUGUGGGUAUGAGCAAAGCUAGGCCAGACCUUAGGUCAGCCCUACUGAAUGGAGAAGAGCAGAAUAUCUCUGAACUGGGGACAAAAUCCAAAGUGAUACCGGAGUUAAAAUAAUCUGUGGUACUGUUAAUGGAAAGAAUCUGAGGUUGAUGGAGGUUUCAAGCUAACUGCUUGGGGUAUCGCAGUCCGAAUCUGUUUGAUUAUUCUUGCUACCUGUGUUUUUGUAGUUAGAUAAUUAGAAUUUUUAUGUGGACUUAAGUAUUUUGAUCUAGAAGUUCUUAGAAGGACCACAGCUGUCAUAUUUUAACAUGUUAAUAUCUCUAUUUUGAAAGAUACCCGUUUUCUCUUAAAGUGAGAUUGAUAUACCAGCAUAUAGGCACUUGUUAUCUACAAGUUGGGUUCAUUUAUGGUCAAACAGUUGUAUUUAUUUGUCUCUCUAACCUGUUUGCUUUUUUUCAUCAACAGGAAGGGAAUUGGAAAUGCAUGACAAUCCCGGAGAACAAGAUCAUUUUAGUGAUUCAUUUGUUUAUGCUAAAAUCUACUGUGAAUAGGUUCCAUGCUGACUGACAGGGCAUGACUUGCAUGUAAUUCUGGCUACUUGAAAAUUGUACCGAUUAACAUGAGGUCUGGCUUUGCGUUUGCCUGACAUGGUUCCACCAUGUUACCAGUGGUAACUUUCCCCACUACCGUUAGGAGCACUUAUGUACCACUUCUACGUCUCCUUCUUGUAUUCAAAAAUGUUCCAAGGGUGAGGCUAUGAAAAGCAAUACUGCUGUCUCUGUUGCUUCAUUUCUGUCCAACCACAACAAUUUUGCUCUUGAAUUUUAGAUCAAAACUGCAGCCAUAGGGAGUGCCAGGCCUGAGUGAUGUGAUGGACACACCCAGGGCGUAUGCUCAGGGAGUAUCAGGUGUUUAUAACUCCUACUCAUCAUGUUUCAUUGGUUUAUCUUAGAAGAGAAUAGUAUAUCCUAACUCAUCUGUUUUUACCCUUAGCUGCCUGAAAAGGAAAUGGCAAACAUCUUCUAGAAGUGCAAAAUCUAGAAUUAUCAAUGGGGGGGGAAAAAAGACCAACACCUUGAGAAUUCUAACUGCAGUGGCACUCAGCUGAAUCUUAUUUAUACAGGGUGUGGUAUAGCUGCCAGCUAGGAGAGGAGAUGGGAUGAGGGAGAGAGGCGCAGCUGUGCAUACAUGAGCCAAAGCAAACAGCUGCUCAGGUGAUCCUGGUAGGGCUGCAUGAGCCCUUAUACCAUACCAGUGGACCUCUGCUUAAUCGAGUGUGUGCCUGGGAUCUGUUGCAGCAUGGUAUCACUGACUUUCUUUUUUUUUUUUUUUGAUAAAAGGUAACCUCAUUUAAGAGACAUGCAAACUUCUAUGUUUAUUAAGCAAUGAAGUGUGCUGCUCAUUUGGUCUGAUGUGGCUAGUGGAGAAAUCCACCAGAAGUGUCUGUAUUAGGCAUGCCGGGAGAGACUUAAGUGGAUAAGCGAAGAGAGAUUCCUUACUUCGUUUGUCAGUUAACAGUUAUUAUAAAAGAGCUCUUUUGCAUUACCAAAAUGAGUUAGAAACUUUCAGCCUUGCAUGAGGGAUGUACCAUUCACUGAUGGCUUUUGCAGGGUGGUAUUUUCUUUGGGAUUCACUGUAGAUUUUUCAUUUCCAAUUUCUUUUAUUUGUUAUGAGGCUCGAGGAAAAAAGAAUAUUUGUAAAGGAAAAGCUGGGCAAUAUGCUGGAGAUGAUUAAAAACAAAAAACACAGCAAUAAAGCAAAACAGAAAAUCCCAAACAAAUAGAACCUAAUGAAAAGCUAACCUGUCAGCCUGUCUUAUUUGAAAAGGACACAGACUUGAAGUUUCUCAGACAGUUUUGUGUGUCUUUCCCCACCGCCACCCGAAUCGAAACUUCGUUUGGACUUGCAGCAUCUCCUUAUGCAUUAAUUGUAUGCAUAAAGUCACUUUUUAACACUUUAUAGGCGUCAUAAAGGAUCAGCACGUACUUCUAUGAAAGCUUGGGCUUGCGACCUGACACCUAGUUUAUGUAACCUAGAUAUACCCUGCUUGGUACAGCAAAGAGCAACUUGAGACACUUCAAAAUGUUUCUGACUUGUAAAACCAUAUUCACAGCUUUUAAACCACAAAAAUUUGAAUCUUUUCCGGAUGAAAGUGAUAGACUUGAGCACAUCUGUAGCUUCUUAACGUCACCAAGCAUCUUUUUCUAAUUUUUCCUUAACUCUUUGUGGUGUAAUUGCUGUUUACUUGUUGGACAACAAAGUGAAGCGGACCGUCUGCUGCUGACUGUUUGCAGAAGAUUGCUGUGCUCUGAAAAUCAUGUGGCGGGACGUUUGCAACAGGAUUUGCUAUAAAUGCUGUGAAGUAACCAAGAACAGCACGUUGCAUUUCUCCUACUUGGCGAUAGAGUGUGUUGAAAAUUUAUCUUUGAGUAAAAAACAGGUUUUUGCAUUCCUGGUGUAGGUUUAGAGAGGUAAAAUGCAAGAAAAAAGAAUGGUAGGUAUAUUUUAUGCUCAGUGCAUCUUAAAGAUAAUGUCUCCUGAUAAAAGCACUGAUUUGAAUCCUACUACAGAGCGUAUUCAUUCCUGCAGUCAACUUGUGCAGUCUCGUAGUGAAUACAGAAUUGGGAAACCAUGGGAAUGUUUUUGUUUUAUCUAUAGUAGGUUGGUGCUGAGUGGUGAUUGUGUAUUCAGUGGUAGUGGUCAUGCAGAAAGAACGUUGCACUACAGUUGCUGAUAAGUAUCCUUUCUUUAUUCCUUGCACGUCCCUGCAGGUGUUGCUGUUAAUAUGAAAUCACUAACUUGGUCACUGUGACAAAGUUACUUACCUGCACCUAACUUCUGAGCUGCAUCUCUGGUGCCAGUUCUCAUUAGAUGGAUUAAAUUCAAUUAUAUUAGUACAAUGUAAGUAAUAUUGGAGAAAAGGGGAAAUAGCUUUUAGACUUACCAUGAAAAUACCUGAUUUCUAGCUAUAAAACAGCAACUGAUUUUUUUUCUUUGAGUAAAGGCUAAUUUUCAUGAGCAGAGCACUGGGAUGUUGUUGCAAAUUCCUGACACUCUGUAAGGCUUUUUGUCUGUUUGUUUUCCCUCGUGUAUUUGCAAAUUAUCUUGGACUGACCCAAAGCUACAUUACUUUCCUUUUUCUAAAAGGAAAAAGCGAGUAGUUCUGUUUUAAAAGUAUUUUCUAUUUCAUACAGUUCAGCAGAAGUUUUAUUUACGGAGCUUUUUUGUUUGUUUUUGUGGGGUGUUUUUGGAGGGAGGUUGAUGUGUUUUUUACUUAGUGCCUGCUGACGUGUUCAAACCCCAUUCUGAUAAUUUUUUGGUCAGCUUUGAUAUUUGGUGUAAAUGAGUCAAGCUUGUGCAAGGGAAAUUGAUAAGCAGAUUAAUACUGCGGGACCGUAUUCUAUUUUGGAUGUUCUAUAGUAGCUCUUUUAGUGGUUGUUUGUCAAGGGUUAAGUACGUUGUUAGCUAAGAUUAUCAUAGGUGGGAAAUAACUCAAAUUUGUCUCUGCUGGGAGCCCAGGUUUGAGAGCUGUUAACGCUUUCUGUGUUCUGUUCUGUAUUUAAGACAUGAAUAGGACCGCAAAGAUCAGCUGGCAAGCAGGACUCGUUGAGCCACUCACUUCCCUAAUUGCCAGGAGGGAAACCAUUUUUAUUUAAUUUUAAUCUGCCAUAAGCUGAGCGUGCAGUUCUUUGAGCCACAAAAGCUAAAAUCCUGCACCAGCCUUUAAUGUAUGUUCAUACAUAAAAGCUGUUUAAUUGGUUUUGUUUGCCUGUGUCAGAAAUUAAGUGUGAAGUCUCCUGCCUUAUCCCUUCUGAUUAGAUCUGCAAAUCCAAUCUUUUAUAGAGGGUAUGUUCUAAACAACUAUGAUUGCUGCUUUGGUUGCAUCUUUUAUGAAUGCUUUGUUAAAAGCAGGAGGGCUUAUUUUAGAUUUGGUUUUCACACAUGUGGUAAAUAUCUGUCCCUGCUUACAGUUUCACAAUUUGCUCCAAUUUAACCUGCUUUUUUCAGGCUUGUCCCCUUUUCUCUGAGCUGCAAGCACCUCUUAAGGUGUCAGCAUUAGCAUGCUACCAGUGGGAGGAAAAGUAAAACGAGGCACCUUAUUCAAAAGAAGCUCUUACAAAUAUGGUAGUGCACAAGUAUUGAAUCUCCAAACUGACAUCCCCUGUAAGUCUGGAUUGUUACUUUCCCUUGAACUUGGUUUACAGGUUUUUUCCUCUCUGUUUUUCUUGAAGUUUGUUUCCAAAUUCUCCUUGACUUUCUAUGCAUUAUCACCAUCAGUGGGUUGGUUGAUAGUGGCAUGAUACAUGCGUGGUAGACAUAGAUAUCCAUGCCUCUGUAUAUUUGUAUUGUACGACUAUAAGUAAUUUUGUUUAAACACCUUUGUUUGCCUUGCUGCAGAUGUGUAUAGCCACACAGGGUGGCGUGCCAUGUAAUGUGGGAUUCUUGUUACACCAAGUAAAGCGUAUGUCAAGAUGCAAGCAACUUUAUUUUUUGAACUACCUCUGCAUACCGGAGUACCCCACUUAUCUCUGCAUUAGUAGAAACAAUAUUUAUGUUGACUUUCUUUGUCCAAAGGGGCUUUGAUGUAGUCCUACCUUAUACCUUCAGUUAUUAUAGACUUUCUAGAUCUGACUUCAGCCUGUGGCGCCUGCUAAGUCCUCCAAAUCCGGCAUUUGCUGCUAGGACUUUAUUUUGCUGUAGUUCAACAUAUUUUUCUGCUUAGCUUGUCGAGUAGAAGAGAUGUGGUAGAUCAGCUAACGUAAUCUUUUUUUUUUUUUGGAGUCUGGGAUUAGUUAAAUUAUCCAUGUUUUGUUCUCAGUACGGCAAAAGGAUGCAUUUUGAAUAGAUGUAUUCUUUGGAUUCCUGACUAAAGGUUAGAGUGACACAAUCAACCUGACGUUGACAAAUCAUGUGAAAUCUCACUUUUUGCUGGUACUUAGCCAUUUUCCCUCCUGUGACAGAAAUGCUUGUAUUAGUGAACAUAUUUGAAUGGAACUGAUCAGAUUGCAUGAGAUUUCAGAUAAUUGCAUUUUCCUUCUUUCCCUUCUGCAAAAGAGAAAACAGG
ensembl:lncRNA